rnacentral:rRNA from 1 species
GACGAACGCUGGCGGCGUGCUUAACACAUGCAAGUCGAACGGUGAAGCCCUUCGGGGUGGAUCAGUGGCGAACGGGUGAGUAACACGUGAGCAACCUGCCCCUGACUCUGGGAUAACUACCGGAAACGGUGGCUAAUACCGGAUAUGACUUGCCCGGGCAUCCGGGUGGGUGGAAAGUUUUUCGGUUGGGGAUGGGCUCGCGGCCUAUCAGCUUGUUGGUGGGGUGAUGGCCUACCAAGGCGACGACGGGUAGCCGGCCUGAGAGGGCGACCGGCCACACUGGGACUGAGACACGGCCCAGACUCCUACGGGAGGCAGCAGUGGGGAAUAUUGCGCAAUGGGCGAAAGCCUGACGCAGCGACGCCGCGUGGGGGAUGAAGGCCUUCGGGUUGUAAACCCCUUUCAGCAGGGAAGAAGCGCAAGUGACGGUACCUGCAGAAGAAGCACCGGCUAACUACGUGCCAGCCGCCGCCGUAAGAC